GACGAACGCUGGCGGCGUGCUUAACACAUGCAAGUUGAACGGAAAGGCCCUGCUUUUGUGGGGUGCUCGAGUGGCGAACGGGUGAGUAACACGUGAGUAACCUGCCCUUGACUUUGGGAUAACUUCAGGAAACUGGGGCUAAUACCGGAUAGGAGCUCCUGCUGCAUGGUGGGGGUUGGAAAGUUUCGGCGGUUGGGGAUGGACUCGCGGCUUAUCAGCUUGUUGGUGGGGUAGUGGCUUACCAAGGCUUUGACGGGUAGCCGGCCUGAGAGGGCGACUGGCCACAUUGGGACUGAGAUACGGCCCAGACUCCUACGGGAGGCAGCAGUGGGGAAUAUUGCACAAUGGGCGGAAGCCUGAUGCAGCAACGCCGCGUGCGGGAUGACGGCCUUCGGGUUGUAAACCGCUUUCGCCUGUGACGAAGCGUGAGUGACGGUAAUGGGUAAAGAAGCACCGGCUAACUACGUG
rnacentral:rRNA from 1 species